AGUGGAAUGGGAAUGUAUCAAUCUAUAUAGAACUCAAUCCCUACUCUUCUCUAUGGAUUCAAUUUUUCAUUCCAAUUUCAAUUUCGAUUCUGAUUUCGAUCACGAACCAAAUGCUUCGAAGGAUUUGGCCAUUUCGAUUCUGAUUCCAAACUAUUCCGAUUCUCAUUUUCAUUCAGAUUUCGGUUACGAACCAAACACCCCCAUAUUUUCUAAACUAAAAAAUAUUUCCUUUUGAUUUUAUUUAU
rnacentral:lncRNA from 1 species